GCCUAGCUUGAAUGCGACGGUUCCUCUUUAUCGAGGAUCAAAAGGGAACGCGGUGAGGGCGCAAGCCCGAGGCCGCGGCUGCCCCCGCAACUGUAAGCGGCGAGCCCAUCAUCAACACGUCACUGGGUGCCUUUCGCACCUGGGAAGACGAUGAGAGGGCGGUGACCCGCGAGCCAGGAGACCUGCCGUCAGUCGUGGUCACAC
rnacentral:ncRNA from 2 species